rnacentral:rRNA from 1 species
UACGUAGGCAGCGAGCGUUGUUCGGAGUUACUGGGCGUAAAGGGUGUGUAGGCGGUUGUUUAAGUUUGGUGUGAAAUCUCCCGGCUCAACUGGGAGGGUGCGCCGAAUACUGAAUGACUCGAGUGUGGGAGAGGUGAGUGGAAUUCCUGGUGUAGCGGUGAAAUUCGUAGAUAUCGGGAGGAACACCAGUGGCGAAGGCGGCGACCUGGGCCAAUAUUGACGCUGAGGUGCGAAAGCGUGGGGAGCAAACAGG